CCUGACUGCUAUCGGAUUGAUACUAAGCCAUGCGAGUCAUUGUAGCAAUACAAGGCAGACGGCUCAGUAACGCGUAGUCAAUCUACCCUAUGGACGGGAAUAACCUCGGGAAACUGAGAAUAAUGCCCGAUAGAACAUUAUGCCUGGAAUGGUUUAUGUUUCAAAUGAUUUAUCGCCAUAGGAUGGGACUGCGGCCUAUCAGUUUGUUGGUGAGGUAAUGGCCCACCAAGACUAUUACAGGUACGGGCUCUGAGAGGAGUAGCCCGGAGAUGGGUACUGAGACACGGACCCAGGCCCUAUGGGGCGCAGCAGGCGAGAAAACUUUGCAAUGUGCGAAAGCACGACAAGGUUAAUCCGAGUGGUUUCUGCUAAAGAAACCUUUUGUCAGUCCUAGAAACACUAACGAAUAAGGGGUGGGCAAGUUCUGGUGUCAGCCGCCGCGGUAAUACCAGCACCUCGAGUGGUCAGGAGGUUUAUUGGGCCUAAAGCAUCCGUAGCCGGCUUUGCAAGUCUCCGGUUAAAUCCAGCUGCUUAACAGAUGGGCUGCCGGAGAUACUACACAGCUAGGGAGCGGGAGAGGCAGACGGUAUUCUGUGGGUAGGGGUAAAAUCCACUGAUCCAUAGAGGACCACCAGUGGCGAAGGCGGUCUGCCAGAACGCGUUCGACGGUGAGGGAUGAAAGCUGGGGGAGCAAACCGGAUUAGAUACCCGGGUAGUCCCAGCUGUAAACUAUGCAAACUCAGUGAUGCAUCGGCUUAUGGCCAAUGCAGUGCUGCAGGGGAGCCGUUAAGUUUGCCGCCUGGGAAGUACGUACGCAAGUAUGAAACUUAAAGGAAUUGGCGGGGGAGCACCACAAGGGGUGAAGCCUGCGGUUCAAUUGGAUCAACGCCGGAAA
rnacentral:rRNA from 1 species